ACGGGAGGCAGCAGCUAAGAAUAUUCCGCAAUGGACGAAAGUCUGACGGAGCGACGCCGCGUGGAUGAUGAAGGUCGGAAGAUUGUAAAAUCCUUUUAUGACUGAGGGAUAAGUGAAGUGAGAGAAACGCUUCAUGGUGACUGUAGGUCAUGAAUAAGCAACGGCUAAUUACGUGCCAGCAGCCGCGGUAACACGUAAGUUGCGAGCGUUGUUCGGAAUUAUUGGGCGUAAAGGGCAUGUAGGCGGUUUUGCAAGCUUGGUGUGAAAUCCCGGAGCUCAACUCCGGAAUUGCGUUGAGAACUGCAGGACUUGAGUUACUGGGGAGCAGUCAGAAUUCCAGGUGUAGGGGUGAAAUCUGUAGAUAUCUGGAAGAAUACCAAUGGCGAAGGCAGGUUACCAGCAGAUGACUGACGCUGAGGUGCGAAGGUGCGGGGAGCAAACAGGAUUAGAUACCCUGGUA
rnacentral:rRNA from 1 species